CGCAUGCCUCCCGCCAGUUUGAGCUGCAUAUUCUGGUGAGAGGAGUGUGCCUGUUGAGAAAUGCCCAUGGCCUUGUAAAAUCAACUUGUUGAUAUUAACUUACAGCAGUUUGAGCUGCAUAUUCUGGUGAGAGGUGGACGGAGUGCAUCAAUAAACCUGCCCGGGAGAGAGUGACAGCGUUCAGCCACAGACCGGUUACAAUGGCAUACGCAGACAGACUGUGGUUUUUUUUUUCUUUCAGGGAUUGUGAUUUCCUUAAGUUCACGUCAUACGUUAUGUAGCAAUGUUCUAUCGUUAUGGCAUAGAACAUUCCUGAUAUUGAACAUCCUUGUCUGACCGCCCUGUGUAUUUUAAAACGAGAACUCAAGCCACCAUUAACUUUCAACACACUCUCAAUGUCAUUAUAUAAAACUUUUAUUUUUUUUUUAAAA